UACGGAGGUGGCAAGCGUUACUCGGAUUUACUGGGUGUAAAGGGCACGUAGGCGGCUCGAUAAGCUCUGCCUGAAAUGCUCUCGCUCAACGAGAGUAUGCGGUGGAGGACUGUCGGGCUUGAGGACUGGAGAGGCAGGCGGAAUUCCCGGUGUAAGGGUGACAUCUGUAGAUAUCGGGAGGAACACCAGUGGCGAAAGCGGCCUGCUGGCCAGUUUCUGACGCUGAGGUGCGAAAGCUAGGGGAGCAAACAGG
rnacentral:rRNA from 1 species